rnacentral:rRNA from 1 species
UACGUAGGGUGCAAGCGUUGUCCGGAAUUAUUGGGCGUAAAGAGCUCGUAGGCGCCUGUCGCGUCGGCUGUGAAAACCCGGGGCUCAACCCCGGGCCUGCAGUCGAUACGGGCAGGCUAGAGUCCGGCAGGGGAGACUGGAAUUCCUGGUGUAGCGGUGAAAUGCGCAGAUAUCAGGAGGAACACCGGUGGCGAAGGCGGUUCUCUGGGCAUGACCUGACGCUGAGGAGCGAAAGUGUGGGGAGCGAACAGG